GUUGACAGCCAGCUGAGACGGCCAGGACAGAGCAGUGACUAGGACAAAAGAGCGUGAUAACAGUUGAAGUUUUGGCCAACAGAGGGGUCAGAGGCCAGAAAAGCAAACCGAGAUCAAGGGACAGAGAUAACUGGGGGCAAAGCCCAUGCAAAUACUCGGUGACCAGGAGAGUGGCCGUGUGGAGAAGCAGGGCAGGAAUGUGACCACCCAGCUGGGUGAGGGGCUGCUGGCGUGGAGGCAGCUGCCUGCUCAGCUCAGCCCAGCUGCAUUUUCUCCUCUUGCACCCUGGUGAGAACCAGUCUUCCUUCGGUUCUGCCUGAGGACGCUGUAGGUGCUGAAAAUGGAAUACAGCUGGCAGGUAGUGGGGAGACAGUGAAAACGUGCCCUGAUACUAUUCUGAGAAAAAAAAAAGAGCUUUAUUGCUUCUUGUCAGACUAUACUAUGUUUUAGGAAGAGUUGGGUUCCCCCAAAGAGAAGGUGCAGGGUGCUGGGAGCAGGAUCCUCAGUUUGUAAGAACGCACUCACUGCUCCAAGGCAGCCAACAAAAAAUUUUUAAAAAGGGUGAUUGAAGGUUCAACUUUUGACAUGUAAAAUCCAGUCAUAGCUUGGGUUUCCCAGAAGCAGUCCCUGAGACAAAGAUUUUAGUGCAACAGUUUAUUGGGAGGCGAUCUUGGGAAACACCAGAAGGGAAGUGGAAAAUUGAAAUGUCGAAGGAAGCCAAUAAAAUAUGCGUUAUUGAGCAGAUGGCCCCUGUGACCAACUAGGCUCAGUAUCUCUGGGGAACCCCCAGAGACAGUGUAGAGUAAAUUCCAGAAUUAUGCCAUCCAAGGGAAAAGGGAGCUGAAUCAUUCAUCUCUCAGCUGUUGCAAGCUAUUGGUGGAGGGAUUUUCCCAAGAGGCAUUACCUCCCAGGCUUGUCCUCACUUUGCCUGUGUGGCCUCCAGUGAUCAGACAGAACCCAAAGGAAAAGAGCCAGGGUGCGGAUUGGCAGAAGCUAUUCUGGCCCAUGUGCAGAGCAUCAAGAAUGUGUGCUGCAAAAGAUUGGUCAGGACAAUUGUGUAAGUGUCUGAAGAACCAUCUGGGGCUCCUUCAACAACUCAACAAGAGCUGGGUUCCUAUGAGGUCAUGGAGACCAGGAGAGCAUACAGUUUGUAUCUGCCAUUGA
ensembl:lincRNA